rnacentral:rRNA from 1 species
CCCUUAGAUGCUCUGGGCCGCACGCGCGCUACACUGGUCGAUGCAACGAGUUUCUUUCCUUGGCCGACAGGCCUGGGCAAUCUUUGAACAUCGAUCGUGAUCGGGAUAGAUUCUUGUAAUUUUGAUCUUAAACGAGGAAUUCCUAGUAAACGCAAGUCAUCGGCUUGCAUUGAUUACGUCCCUGCCCUUUGUACACACCGCCCGUCGCACCUACCGAUUGAAUGGUCCGGUGAAAUCUCCGGACUGGCGUGAGUCGGAGCAAUCUGACAAACACCGGAAAGUUGAUUAAACCUUACCAUUUAGAGGAAGGUGAAGUCGUAACA